rnacentral:rRNA from 1 species
GACAGAGGGGGCAAGCGUUGCUCGGAAUCACUGGGCGUAAAGGGCGCGUAGGCGGGAUGGCAAGUCGGUCGUGAAAGUCCUUCGGCUCAACCGAAGAACGUCGGCCGAUACUGCCGUUCUUGAGGGAUGCAGAGGAGAUUGGAAUUCCCGGUGUAGCGGUGAAAUGUGUAGAGAUCGGGAGGAACACCGGUGGCGAAGGCGGGUCUCUGGACAGUUCCUGACACUGAG